CUCCGUCAAACAAACCUUACACCUUCUUCGUCUUCCAUCUUUGGUUCUUUGAUUCUUUCCUUCUGCUACUUCACUCCAUUUCGCUCUUCUUCUCUCACACUCACUUGAUUUUUCAAUUCAACCGUUUUCCUUCUUUUUUAGCAUUCACAUUUUGAUUUUGCUGUAACGCAAUGCUAUGGUGAUGCCCAAUGAUGCUUAACUAGCUUCCAUUUUCAAUGAGAUCUCAUCAGAUGAGCCACUGGUUCUUGUUUUGUCAUUUGCUUUUCCACCACUGCAACCAUCAACUCCUCUUCCCUCUCUCUCUCUCUCUCUCUCUCUCUAUCUCUCUAUCUAUCUCAUGCAUGCAUACCCAAACCCACACACACAUAUAUGCAAAUGAAUAAGGAAGCCAGUGAUACUGUGUGGUGGUUUGGGAAGGCUUUUGAUGAACGCUAGUGGCUUUCAACUGUGUGAUUACUUCUAAGCUAUCAGAUCUGAGGGCAUUUUAACUCAGUUUUCUAGUUGAAUAGUUUCACUUCUCUAAUUGUGGUUUUUGCUCACUGAAAUUUUGUUGCAUGCCCUCAUCUUUAGCAAGUUUUUUUUAGUUUACUGCGCUUUUUAGCAAUUGAAGUAGUUUGUGUUGUGUUUGCAUUUGCCUGAUGUUUGAAUAACACGGUUUAGACUGUUGGUUUUCAUAGAACCCUUAGCAGUUAGCAUCAUCUUAGACUUUGCCUACUCAUUAUGUUUAUUAAUUUGUGGUGAUUUUUACAGUCUUGUUUGUUUGUUUGUUUGUUUCUUUUCACUGCAGAUACUAUGUGCAGAGACAAUGAUAGUUUCAUGGUUAAAAUACCAAUGACCGACCGUAGAAGCCUUCGAGAUGCAGAUACUAUUUGCAGAGAUGAUGAUAGUUUCAUGGUUAAAAUACCAAUGACCGACUGCAGAAGCCUUCGAGUUCGAGAUGGUAAAAUCUAAGGGUUUUUUUUUUUCCGGUAGAUAUUUAUGUGUGCUGAGUGACAGAAAUUUGCUCUAGUUACCUGAUUCAUUGCAUUUUUUUUUAAAGUUAUUGUUUCUUUUUACGUUUUUCUUUUUACACAUAAUAUUUUGAUGUUGCAACAUGAUGGUGCCCAAUGAUGCAUAACUAAGUUCAUUUUCUUUGAUAUCAGCUGAGUCACUGGUUCUUGAUUUGUCAUCUGCUUUUCCACCACUGCCACCAUCAACUCCUCUUCCCUCUCUCUCUCUCUCUCUCUCUCUCUCUCUCUCUCUUUCUCUCUCUCAUACAUGCAUACACACACACAUAAACAAAAGAAACAAAGAAAAUGAUCAUCAUAUGUGGUGGUUUGGGAAGGCUUUUGAUGAACGCCAUUGACUUUCAACUGCGUGAUUAGUUCUAAGCUAUGAGAUCUGAGGGCAUUUUUACUCAGUUUUCUAGUUGAAUUGUUUCAGUUCUCUAAUUGUGAUUCGGCUCACUGAAAUUUUGUUGUAUGCCGUCAUCUUUGUUGAGUUUUUUUUGGUUUACUGCACUAUUGAAACAAAUGUACAGCCUAGGAAUCUUCAUCUGACCCCUAAAGUUUAGGUUUUUUUUUGUGGGAUACGUGAAUAUUUCUUAUGGAUAUGCCCAAUGAUGAAUGCUCCUUGUACGAUAUGGUACUCUGAAUAUUAUUCAAAUCCUUUGCAUCUCUCUGCCUUUCUGCCCACUGCCAUAGAUGACUAUGCUGCUAUUGCUUUGGUUCUUCUCUCUUUCUUCUUCUUCUCCUCUUCUUUAUUACUCCCUCCGUUCCUAAUUGUUGUUGUUGCUGGUGGGGGAGGUGGUGAUGAUGGUAGUGUUGUUUCUGCUCAGUCACUAACAUUUGGUAGAGAUGGUGGAGGUGUGAGGUUGUCUUCAUGGUUGUUGAAUAAGUACUACUCAGGUGAUAUCUGAGGGCCCAUUUUUUAUCUCGAGUUUGAAUAAUUGUCUGUUUGUUAUGGAGGAUUUUAAAUUUUCAUAUUAUGCUUUCUUUAGAGCAUUUGGGUGACUUUAAUCAAACAUGGCCCAUGGAUGGAUGGUUAGGUAUCGUCGAGAAGUGUUUCAUGAUCAUGUAAAUUUUUUUGUUAUGCUUUCUUUUCUCACUCACUUGACUUUUCCAUUCGGUUGUCUUAUGUAUUUUUUUUAGCAUAGUAUUUUGAUGUUGUGUUAACGCGAUGCUAUAGCGAUGCCCAAUGACGCAUAACUAAAUUCAUUUUGCAAUGAGAUCAGAUGAGCCACUGGUUCUUGAUUUGUCAUCUGCUUUUCCACCACUGCCACCAUCACCUCCUCUUCUCUCUCUCUCUAUAUAUAUAUAUAUAUAUCUAUCUCAUGCAUACACACACACACAUGCAAAUGAAACAAAGAAAAUAAUUAUAUGUGGUGGAUUGGGAAGGCUUUUGAUGAACUCCAUUGGCUUUAAUCUGCGUGAUUGGUGCUAGCAGUGAGAUCUGAGGGCAUUUUCUUUGUAUUACCUCGAUUCCCUAUUUCUCAACUCAGUUUUCUCGUUGAAUAGUUUCAGUUCUCUAAUUGUGGUUUUGGUUUACCAAAAUUUUGUUGCAUGCCCCUGAUCUUUGGCGAGUCUCUUUUAUUUUACUGAACGAUUGAAACAAAUGUAAUGCCUAGAAAGCUUUAUCUCACCCCUAAAUUUUUAGUUUUUCUUUAGAGGGAUACCUGAAUAUCUGUUCCAUAAUAUGUAUGUUAUUUGAAUGGUCUGUUGAUUGAUAAACAAUGGGCCUGGUACACUUUUUUGUUCUUUUUGAGGAAAAAAGUCACUCCUUAUUGCCUUGUUGAUGUUUAGCAAUUGAAAUAGUUUGGGUUGUGUUUGCAUUUGCCUGAUGUUUGAAUAACACGGUUUAGACUCUAUUAUGUUUGUCUUCCAAGAGCCCUGAGCAGCAUCAUGUUAGACUUUGCCUACUCAUCAUCUUUAUUAAUUUGUGGUGAAUUUUGCAUUCAUGGUUCUUCUUUCUUUUCACAGAAAAUACUAUGUGCAGAGGCAAUGAUAGUUUCAUGGUUAGAAUACCCAUGACCUACUGCAGAAGGCUUCGAGAUGCUUCUAUUUGUAGAGACAAUAGUUUGAUGGUCCUAAUACCUAUGGCCAGUUAUAGAUUCAAUUGAGUUUCCCUUACUUGAUCGUAGUAGCAUUCGAGAUUGUAAAAUCUGAGAGGUACGUUUAUUGUAUUAUUUUAUUGUUUCUUGUUGGGGGAUUCUUCAUGUUUUCCAUUGAUUUAGUGGAAAAAGCUGUUGAUGAUUUGUAUUUAGCUAUGAGAUCUGUGGGCUCUGAAUUUCUUUUUAUUUCCCCCCAACAAAUAUGCUUCCAUAUUUCCUUAAACACAUACGUAGUGUUGAUACUUUCUUUGCUUCCAUAGUGAGCAUUUUACUGUCACUUCUUGUUCACUGCACAUUUUAUCUCUUCCUUUCCUGCUUGUAUUAUUUCAUUUAUAGUCAUCUAUCCUGCCCAGUGAUGGACAAAUUGUAUCAAUGAGCAGCUGCACAGUUUUGUUCAUCACUCGUCAAAAUUGGUUUCAAUUUAAUUAUAGGGAGCUGCUUGAUAGAUAGUGGAAUGUCAAGUGUAAUCAUCUCCUUUGGGAAGGUAAAUGCUAUGUGGAUUUCCUUGCUAAGCUUGCUUGUAGAUGUAGUGUAAAAGGGGCAGAAGUUUGUUAUUCUACUAGAUCCUCCUAUUGAGUUGGAUGCUAUAAUAACUUUGUUCAUUUGGAAUUAGUUUUUAUUCUCUUACUUUGGGGUACAUCUACUUUUGUGCACCUAAAAACAAAAAUUCCCUCUUGUCUUAGUUUUCUCAGUUAUGGUGUCAUCAUUUAAUCAGAGAACUUUUUUUUGAGUAGUUUGUUAAUAUUAUAUAACCCUUCUCCUAGUGAUAUUUAAAUGGAGAAGUUCAUUAAUAUACAAAAGAAAAGGGACAGAAAGAUAUUGCAUAUGCAAAAAGAGCAAGUUUUCAACUAAAAUACAAUUGAUAAUCUAAUCUAUGUUCACAAUUUGCAUCACCUGGAUUUUAAACCCGUAGAUUUUCAUUCCAAAGUAAAUUCCAAAAGAUUUUCAUUUAAACCCGUGGAUUUUCAUUCCAAAAGAAUGUUAAAAAAAAGUAAAUGACUGUAAUAUGAUGUGUUUAAUACUGGAACAUGUUUGUUUUAAUAAAUAUAAUAUUUUAAAAAAGAUGGAUAAAAAAUUAAUCAACUUGUGUGGUUGCCUCCUUGACUUCGUAAAGAUAUAUAUUCUAACAAAUUUUCUAAAAAUAUUUUGGAUGAUGAAAAAGUUAGUUGAGCAUUAUAUUUUUUCUAAAUUUGAGAACCUAUAAUCUAGAAAUAAAAAAUAAAAAAUUGGAAACCUGAUUAUUUUUGAAAUAUAUUUGAGAUUAUUUUAAAUUUACUACAAUAAAACCCAGAGUCUCACAGGCCCAAAAGUAAGGAACCAAACACAGGCUCGUUUCGCCCAAAUUCGCAUACAGUUUGUCUUCUCCACUUCUUGAUUUUCAAAUUCAAGAUUUAUUCUUGCGCUUUUUUUUGCAUGGUAUUUUGAUUUUGCUUUAAUGCAAUGCCCAAUGAUGCUUAACUAGCUUCAUUUUGCAAUGAGAUCAGAUGAGCCAGCCACUGGUUCUUGAUUUGUCAAUUGCUUUUCCACCACUGCCUCCACCAACUCUUCUGUUUCUCUCUCUCUCUCUCUCCACACACACACAUACACAUGCAUAUAUAUGAUGAUGAAGAUGAAGAUGAAGAUGGAUAGAUUAUAUGCGGUGGUAUGUGAAGGCUUUUGAUGAACGGCACUGGCUUGAGUCUUUCUGAUUGAUUCUAAGCUGUCAGAUCUGAGGGCAUUUUCUGCUUAUUUCCUCGAUUCCCUGUUUUUUAACUCUGUUUUCUUGUUCGAUUGCUGAAAAUUUGUUGUAUGCCCUAAUUUUUGUGUUGAUGUUACGCAGCUGAAGCAUUUUGUGUAGUGUUUGCAUUUGCCUCUAGUAAUUCGUUCGAUUGCUCUAAUUUUGUUGCAUGCCCUAAAAUUUGGUGUAGACUGUUUUGCUGGAUUUGCUUAGAGCCUGUAUUACCAUGUUAGAUUUUACCUUCAUCUUAAUUAUUCAUUGGUGAUGUUUAUAUUCUCCUUUCUUUCCUUUUCACAAUAGUUACUAUUUGUGUGGAUGCAAUGGUUGUUUGAUGGUCAAAUACCAAUAACCUUAGAAACAUGUGAUAUAGUAAAAUCCCAAGGGAUUUGCUUCGCAUUUCUUCAAUCACUGAUUUUAAAAUUUAAAUUGUCUGUUUACGUUUUUUAUUCGCAUGAUAUUUUGAUGUUGUUGCAAGGUGAUGCCCAAUGAUGCAUAACUAAUUUCAUUUGCAAUUAGAUCAUCUUUGGUUCUUGAUUUGUCAUUUGCUUUUCCACCUCUGCCACCACCACCACCACCACCGCUACCGCCGCCUCUUCGCUCUCUCCUCCACACCUACAUUUGCUAUGUUUUCAGGGACUAAAAACAUAUUUAACCCUAUUAUUAGUUAUAUGCAGUUGGGGAAGGCUUUUGAUGAACGCCAUUGGCUCUAAACUGUGUGAUUGGUUCUAUGCUAUGAGAUCUGAGGGCAUUUUCUGCUUGUUACCUCGUUUCACUGUUUUUUUAACUCUGUUUUCUUGUUCAGUAGUUCAAGUUCUCUAUGCCUCUAUUUGUUGUUUUGUAUUACUGAAAUUUUGUUGCAAUCCCUCAUCUUUGGCGAGUUUUAGUUUUACUGCAGCAUGGAAAUAAACCUACAGGCAUCAUAUUUGUUGUUUUUUUUUGCAGGGUAGAUGAAUAUUUGAUACAUAAAAAUGCUUUUGACUGAUACCAAUGGGCUUGGUACUCUAUUUUUUUAGGAAGGAACUCAAUACACUGUUGAUGUUAAGCAAUCGAAGUUGUCUGUGUUCUGUUUGCAUUGAAUUGCUUUGUUUCUAUUUUGCGGGUUUUCAUAGAGUCUUUAGCAUCAUGUUAGACUUUGCUUUCUCAUCAUCUUUAUUUAUAUCUUCUAAUAUUUACAUCCUUGUUUCUCUCUUUCUUUUCAGAGUAGCUACUAUUUGCAGAGCCUAUGAUAGUUUGACAGUUAUAAUUUCCUAUGACCAGUUAUGAAUUCCAUUGAGUUUUCCUUACUUAAUGGUAGAAGCAUUCGGGGCUGUAAAAUCCGAGGGGUUUUAUUUUUGGUAAAUUUGUAUGUGGUCUGAGUGACCAAUAUUUGGAUCUAAUUACCUGAUUUAUUUUGUCCAACUAGCAAGGGUACAUUUAUUGUUUUUAUUAAUUGCCGUUUCUUGUUUUCGGCUCUUUCAUGUUUUCCACUGAUUUAACGUAACUGGUUUAACUGGUUUGCAUUUGCUGCCCGAUGAUGAAAAAGUAGAGUAUUGAACGGCCAUGUGGUUUUGUUCAUAACUGGACCUGCACCGCUCUCUCUCUCUCUCUCUCUCUCUCUCUACUUUUUUUUUUGAUAGGCAAAUGUUAGUAUACAAUAUAAAACCAUUCAUGUGACCCUUCCCAACAGCUUAAGCAUUUUGGAUAUGGUGCAAGAAGGCUGUGAGUGAAGCCCAUGGAAAAAACUGUUGAUUGAAAUUAGCUAUGAGAUCUGAGGGCUCUGCAUUUUUUUCCUAUCAAUUAUUGCUUAAAUACAUCCUGUUAUUCCAAGGGAAACAAAAAAACAUCGGUACUAUUGAUGCAUUUUACUGUUGCACCUUAUUCACUGCACAUAUUAUUUCUUCCCCUCUGUUUGUAUUAUUGCAUUUUAGUCAUCUAUCCUGUCCAAUGAUGGACAAAUUGAACAAUGAGCCGCAGGUUUGUUCAUCACUUGACAUGCACCAUUUCUUCUUCCUCUUCUCUCUCUCUCUCUCUCUCUAUCUAUCUAUCUAUAUAUCGAUCUCUGUGUGUGUGUGUGUGUGGAGAUGGUGCAUGAACGGUGUGAAUGAAGCCUGCUGCAUAGGCUGUAGAUGAUCUUUAUUAAGCUAUGAGAUCUGAGAGCUAGGCAUUCCUCUCCCCUUGACUGGUUAAAAUAGGUUUCAAUUUUUUUAUAGGUUUGUUUCGGCUCUUGCAUAAAUUUCUUGGUUAUCCUAGAUAUUAUUUUCAACGGCAUAUGUAUCUUUUUUUUUUUUUGCCUUUCUCUUUAACUUUGGGAUAUUUCUUUAGGAUGUUUCUUGCUUGUUUUCACUUUUAAUUUCAACUUGUAUAUUUGCUUUGUACUGCCUUUAUUAGUUAUUCAAUUUCCUCUGGAUUAUUUGAUUGAUAUAUUUCGUAUGGAUAUGCCCAAUGAUGAAUGAUCAUUUUAAGAUAUGGUACUCUGAAUGUCAUUCAAAUCCGUUGCAUCUUUCUGCCUCUCUGCCUGCUGCCAUAGUCGACUAUGCUGCUGUUGCUUUGGUUCUUCUCUCUUUAUUACUCCCUCCGUUCCUAAUGAUUGUUGUUGUUGUUGUUGUUGAUGGUGGCGGCAGUGGUGAGUCGCUAACAGUGGGUAGAGAUGGUGGAGGUGUGAGGUUGUCUUGUGAGAACUGGCUUGUUGAUGUUGAUUAAGUACUACUCUGGUCACUUCUGAGGGCACUUUUUAUUAUCUUGCGUUUGAACUUGUCAAUUUGUUUCUGGGACAUUUAAAUUUAUAUGUUAUGCAUCCUUUUGAGCACUUGUGUGACUUUUAAAGCUUUGCAUAGAGUCUGUAGCAUCAUGUUUGGCUUUAUCUACAUCUUCAUAAUACUUAGAUGUUGUAACAUGAUGGUAUGGUGAUGCCCAAUGAUGGAUAACUCAUUUCAUUUGUAAUGAGAUCAGAUGAGCCAUUGGUUCUUGAUUUGUCAUUUGCUUUUCCACCACCACCCUUCCUCCUCCUCCUCCUCUCUCCCUCUCUCCCCCCCCCCCCAUGGCCCAUGCAUGCAUACCCACGCACACAUAUACGAUGAUGAUGAUGAAUAUAUGUGGUUGUUUGGUAAGGCUUUUGAUGAACACCAUUGGCUUUAUCCCGCGUGAUUACUUCUAAAGCAAAGCUAUGAUAUCUGAGGGCAUUGUUAUCAUAUCAUAUUGAAUAGUUUCAGUUCUCUAUUUGUGGUUUUGGAUUAUUGAAAUUUUGUUGCAUGAUCUGAUCCUUGGCUGAGUUUUUAGGUUUACUGCAGUAUUGAAACAAAUGUACAGCCUUGAAAGCUUUUCUGACCCCCUAAUUUUGGGGGGGGGGGGGGGCUCUCACCUAUUUGCACUUGUACAUGAGUUCCUGCCAGCAUUCAGAACCAACAUGGUGUCUCUGUUCGUGGUACCUGCAUUUCAUCCUUUAUUUGAUGAAGGAAAGAGAAGGUUGGUCCCUAUCUAUUAAAUUUUCAGAAUCAGUUGACUGUUGAUAUGUUUAUCUUUCUCCCUAUCCUGCAAGCUGCAAUGUGUGUUCAGAUACAAAAUGGGACCUAAAGAGUGAAGACACAAAAUGUCCAUGGAUUCAGGCUUCUAUGAUAUUAAGAUUCCGAAUCAUGUUUGUAAUUUUCUGUACCCUUUCAAUCUUACAUUAAAUAAAUCUUAGGUACAGUUUCAUCUAUGCCUUGUGAAAAAUGGUAAUUGUGAGAUGUUAUCAAACUAAAUAAAAAGGGCGUAGCUCUCAUGCCUUUUUUAGAGUGAAUUGGUUAAAAUCAGGUUCUCCCAUUUCGUCAAGCAUUUCUUUUAUGCUAAAGACAUUGCUAUAUGUAUUUCAGGGCCACAUUUAUUA